GACGUAGGGCGCGAGCGUUGUCCGGGAUUUAUUGGGCGUAAAGAGCUCGUAGGCGGCUUGUUGCGUCGACUGUGAAAACCCGCGGCUUAACCGCGGGCUUGCAGUUGAUACGGGCAGGCUAGAGUUCGGUAGGGGAGACUGGAAUUCCUGGUGUAGCGGUGAAAUGCGCAGAUAUCAGGAGGAACACCGAUGGCGAAGGCAGGUCUCUGGGCCACUACUGACGCUGAGAAGCGAAAGCAUGGGGAGCGAACAGG
rnacentral:rRNA from 1 species